rnacentral:lncRNA from 1 species
GAAUGAUAUAAUAUUGCAGUUUUACACUUUGGAGUCAUUAUUUGACAUAUAGUAAAGCAGGUGUUAUGUAGGUACGGUGUGAUGGAAAGUAUAGAAACCCACUGUCCUGUACAAGGUGUGGGUUAAAGUGGCAUGUGUGUAUUUGUACAGCUGGUGUCUGAAUUAUUCGUAGACCGGAGAAAAGCUCCCCUGAAAACCACAGCUGUGAUUCUGUAAGUGUAAUACUACUAAUAGUAAGUACUUCUGGGAACAUCUCUUUGCAUCCUUUAAACAUUAGUUUAAAACAAAAAAAGGAUCUGAAUGUUUUUGGAUGCAAUCAUCUACCACGUGGCUUUGUACUGUUGUGUUUGUGAGCUUAAUAAAUAACUAAGAGUGAAACAAACUUUCUCAUUUUUAUCCAUUUAGGUUCCCUUUAUUUGAGUUUGAAAAAUGAAAAUCAGGGAUUUUAUGAGAAACAGACUCCAAAUCAGUACUGCAUGUCCUAUUUUAUUAAACUUAUAUUCUUCUUUAUAUUAUAUUCUUCUUUUUCUAGGUGAGGUUUUUUUAUUUUGUUGUAUUUAGCAGGUGUUGAGAAAAAACUCCUCUGGAAUUGUGUAAAAGUAAAAGUUUAAACAUUUUAACAUUUAAAAUGUUAAAAUGUUCAAUGUUCACCUUAAAAAAGGUGAACAUUGAACAUUUUAACAUUUUAAGGCCAAAUAUAGGGUAACGUGCUUGUCCAUCCCAUAAUAUCACCGAUGAGAGCGGGAUUUGUUUUGUUUCAACCGGACGCGGAUUGGCCCAUCUAUACACCCAUACAUGUAUGUACCUUGCUUACAUAAACACCACAGAAGAAGACGUAUCCUAAAGAACCCAUUUUAAUAAUGUGGACUGGAGCGACCAUGAACCGUUCCCCGCCAGUCCUCAUCACUCAUCCCGCAGUUUCCUCCCGCACAUUCUGCAGAAGACGCUCCAUGGGCCAUGGAUGUGUACUUAUCUGGCUUGUUGUUCAGCCUGGAGCUCUGCGAAUAAACACAGACGAGGAAGUGCAAGGGAUUGGAUCCAUAAUGGCAGCAGCAGUGGUGGUCUACAUGGUGCUCACUCACCAGCCAUCUGACAGCAUUGCAUCUUGUGGAUGUAGGAUUGCCAUGAACAUUCACUACAGUUCACAGGAGGCAUUUAUUAUUGUUUCUUGUCAGUCUCAUUAUUGUUGCUUGUUUUUUACAUAUGUGGAAACCAGCUUUGUCAGCUUUAAAAAAUCUAUUUACCUAUGUAUGCAAGACUAGAUUCAAUAGGAUCACAUUUGUAAGAUGCCAAAAGUAAACUGAAUAUCCUUAAUCAUUGCUGUUGCCUCAAGCUCGCUCUCAUUUCAGUAUUUAUAGAUGCAGCACAUCUCAGCAUGAGGUUAAUGUACAAGUGUGUCAACUUGGGAGGCUGAUACAUGAUGUCAGUGAGAUGCCCAUACCCACUGGGCCUUUCCUAAAUGAUGUAGAUUAAUUUCCAGUAUCGGCUAAAGUUGAAUGGUUUAACACUUUUUGAUGCUUGUGUUUGUACUUUUAGUUUUUAUAAUGAUGCAAGUACAGUAACAGGAGGUGCUUGUGUUUGACUCGUAGUAGAGACUUAUAAUGUUAUAGUUGGUGCUGUGAAGGACACAAUAACUUUAUGCUUGUGUACUGUUAAAAUAGUAAAUGUAAUUUCACAUACAGAAUAAUAUUGAACACACCCAUUCCAAGAAUUUUUGCUUAUGAUGUACAGAACACACUUUGAUCAGACAUACAGUAACAUUACAGCCCCAGACAGUUUGAUUUCAACAAUAAUGGCAUCUGUUGCUACAGUACAGUAAGUGUGAUAUUUCAGGGAGCAAGUAGAUGCAUCUGUAAUUUGUUUUUGACAAGGGCAGGACUGUGGUGGCUAAACGACCCGGUCAGAGCAUUUCCAAACCCACAGCAGUGAGGAGUGAUCGCAAUCUGCAGUUGGCAGUGGUGAAUUGGCGACAGGGUCAGGAGCAGCGAACGCUGUUCUGUGGUUUGAUCCAAAAUACAGUAUGAGCUACUGAAGCUGGAAUUGCUGAAAGUCAAUACUAGAUCUGAAUAGGAAGGUGUCAGAACACCAGUGCGUAACAGUUAGGUGUCUAGAGGGCUGCAUACAGUAGCAUUUUUAUUCAGUGUUGAAAACAAUACACAAGACUUCAUAUUCAGAAAUCCAGAGCUUCACCCUGUUAAGAAGAUUAGAUUUCAUAAUAUUUUAUUCUAAGAAGAUUUGUAGCUUUGAGAAUAAUUGUGGAAGAAAUUGCCUCCAGUGUUAAUGUUUUUUUAAUUCACUUGAAAGUAGAGCUGUGCGAUAUUACAAUACAUAUCUUCUGUAUGGCAAAUAAGUAUUUCCCUGAAAGAACCUUUAGACAUGUUUGAUAGAACAGCAAUAGCUUUCAUCCUAUCAAUGUAAUCAGGCUACUGUAGAAGAAGCAGUAAGGUUGUGUGUGGGCUUCUGCUGUUUUAGUCCAUCAUACACAGCUCAAGACUUGACUGUGUUUCACGGCUGGUGUUUCCCCCAAAGCAUUCAGAGCAUCUCACCUGCACAGUGGCAGGUGCAGCUGUUCUCAUGUGAGGUUGUUUGUUUGGGGCAACACAUAUUCAGAUGAGUAUAUGUAUAUAUAAUAUAUUGUAGAUGUAUACUGUAAUGACUGUGUUUAUCUACUGUACUGUACAUAAAUGUGUAUUGUUAUGAAAAUCCUAAAGUCUAUAUAUAUGUCCUAUAGUCCUUAUAGUCUAAUAUGUGAGACAAGGCUGGAUCACUGCUUUGUGGACUCUUAAUGCUGUUACCUGCUGCAUCUCGCUUUGUCUGUCUUUGUGUCUGUUGAAUUCUCUCUACUGUGGAGGCAUCAUGGAGUGUGCCACUGUUUGUGCUAGGAUUAGAUGUGGAAUACAUAAAUAAAUGGAUUAGUGCGAUCA